UUAGCUCAUAUUUGUAUGGAAUGGGAUCGUUUGCGUACGUUUGCCGCUAGGGGCGCUGUUCCGAUUGCAUACAAAAAUGGCUUA
rnacentral:pre_miRNA from 1 species